CCUACGGGUGGCAGCAGUGAGGAAUAUUGGUCAAUGGCCGCAGGGCUGAACCAGCCAAGUCGCGUGAGGGAUGACGGUCCUAUGGAUUGUACACCUCUUUUGUCAGGGAGCAAAGGGCGCCACGUGUGGCCGUUUGCGAUUACCUGAAGAAAAAGCAUCGGCUAACUCCGUGCCAUCAGCCGCGGUACUACGGAGGAUGCGAGCGUUAUCCGGAUUUAUUGGGUUGAAAGGGUGCGCAGGCGGGAUGUCCAGUCAGCGGUAAAAUUCCGGGGCUCAACCCCGUCGUGCCGUUGAAACUGGCGUUCUUGAGUGAGCGAGAAGUAUGCGGAAUGCGAGGUGUAGCGGUGAAAUGCAUAGAUAUCACGCAGAACUCCGAUUGCGAAGGCAGCAUCCCGGCGCUAAACUGACGCUCAGGCACGAAAGCGUGGGUAUCGAACAGGAUUAGAUACCCGUGUAGUC
rnacentral:rRNA from 1 species